UGAUUUGGAGGUGGCGGAAAAAAUCACCUUUGUUCAAAAAAUGGCUUAAGUUAGACCAAAUGGUCCCUGCGGAAUGCGGUGAUUUUUUCGAACACCUCCAAAUCACCCAAGUUUUGUCACACAUGAUCUCUUGUACAAACAAAGCUAGGUUUCCAAGGUUUUAUAUUUUUUUGAAUUUCUUUGAAUUUAUACUUCCCUCUAGACUGACUGAUUAUAACAUCCGUCUAUACCUCAAGGGGGCUAUGUAAAAUAUUUUUUGCAAAUUUUCUUUCAUAGGCAUGUUUGGCACAUGUGGGUCAUCGUGUAAAAUAAAAUGUGGGUGGUUUGGAGGUGGUGGAAAAAAUCACCGCAUGUUCAAAAAGUGGCUUAAGUUAAAAGACCAAAUGGUCCCUCCGGAAUGCGGUGAUUUUUUCGACCACCUCCAAAUCACCUCAAUUUCGGCACACAUGAUCUCUUCCACAAACAAAGCUAGGUUUCCAUGGUUUUAUAUUGUUUUGAAUUGUUUUGAAUUUAUACUGCCCUCUAGACUAACUAAUCAUAACAUCGGUCUAUACCUCAAGGGGGCAUUGUAAAAUAUAUAUUUUCCAAAUUUUCUUUCAUAGACAUGUUUGGCACAUGUGGGUUACCGUGUAAAAGAAAAUUUGGGUGAUUUGGAGGUGGUGGAAAAAAUCACCUUUGUUCAAAAAAUGGCUUAAGUUAGACCAAAUGGUCCCUCCGGAAUGCGGUGAUUUUUUCGACCACCUCCAAAUCACCUCAAUUUUGGCACACAUGAUCUCUUGCACAAACAAAGCUAGGUUUUCAAGGUUUUGUAUUUUUUUUAAAUUUCUUUGAAUUUAUACUGCCAUAUAGACUAACUGAUCAAGAUAUCGGUCUAUACCUCAAGGGGGCAUUGUAAAAUAUAUUUUUUCCAAAUUUUCUUUCAUAGACAUAUUUGGCACAUGUGGGUCACCGUGUAACAGAAAAUUUGGGUGAUUUGGAGGUGAUGAACAAAAUCACCUUUCUUCAAAAAAUGACCUAAGUUAAAGACCAAAUGGUCCCUCCGGAAUGCGGUGAUUUUUUCGACCAACUCCAAAUCACCUCGAUUUUGGCACACAUGAUCUCUUGCACAAACAAAGCUAGGUUUUCAAUGUUUUAUAUAUUUUUGAAUUUUUUUUGAAUUUAUACUGCCCUCUAGACUGACUGAUCAUAACAUCCGUCUAUACCUCAAGGGGGCAUUGUAAAAUAUAUUUUUUCCAUUUUUUUCAUAGACAUGUUUGGUACAUGUGGGUCACCGUGUAAAAGAAAAUGUGGGUGAUUUGGAGGUGAUGGAAAAAAU
rnacentral:lncRNA from 1 species